rnacentral:rRNA from 1 species
CCCUUAGAUGAUCUGGGCUGCACGCGCGCUACAUUGGUUCGGAUAGAGAGCGUAUCCUGGUACGAAAGUAUUGGGUAAUCUUUGAAUGCGGACCGUGCUCGGGAUAGAUUAUUGUAAUUAUUGAUCUUGAACGAGGAAUUCCUAGUAAGCACGGGUCAUCAGCUCGUGCUGAUUACGUCCCUGCCCUUUGUACACACCGCCCGUCGCUCCCUCCGAUUGGGUGUUGAGGUGAAUUAGGUGGAUUCGGAGACUUCGGUCUUAGAAAAAGCCUUGUAAACCUUUACACUUAGAGGAAGGAGAAGUCGUAACA